rnacentral:rRNA from 1 species
CGGCCCGGUGUGUCCCUCGUUAAAUCCACGGGCUUAACCCGUGGGCUGCGGGGGAUACUACCGGGCUUGGGGGUGGGAGAGGCGCCCGGUAUUCCCGGGGUAGGGGUAAAAUCCUCUGAUCCCGGGAGGACCAUCAGUGGCGAAGGCGGGGCGCCAGAACACGCCCGACGGUGAGGGGCGAAAGCUGGGGGAGCAAACGGGAUUAGAUACCCCGGUAGUCCCAGCUGUAAACGAUGCGGGCUAGCUGUCGGGGCGGCUACGGGCCGCCCCGGUGGCGAAGGGAAGCCAUUAAGCCCGCCGCCUGGGGA